rnacentral:rRNA from 2 species
CUCUUGGUUCUGGCAUCGAUGAAGAACGCAGCGAAAUGCGAUAAGUAAUGUGAAUUGCAGAAUUCAGUGAAUCAUCGAAUCUUUGAACGCACAUUGCGCCCCUUGGUAUUCCGGGGGGCAUGCCUGUUCGAGCGUCAUUUCAACCCUCAAGCUUAGC